UGCUCUGUCGUCUAACGGAUCAGGACACCAGGCUACGAACCUGGAAGUGCAAGUUCGAUUCUUGCCGGAGUAA
rnacentral:tRNA from 1 species